rnacentral:rRNA from 1 species
UACGUAGGGUGCGAGCGUUUGUCCGGAAUUACUGGGCGUAAAGAGCUCGUAGGUGGUUUGUCGCGUUGUCCGUGAAAACUCACAACUCAAUUGUGGGCGUGCGGGCGAUACGGGCAGACUGGAGUACUGCAGGGGAGACUGGAAUUCCUGGUGUAGCGGUGGAAUGCGCAGAUAUCAGGAGGAACACCGGUGGCGAAGGCGGGUCUCUGGGC